CCCGGGGCCCCAGACAAUCACCACCGUAUUUGAGGAGGAGGAGCGGGCGACUGCACCCGCAACCAGCCUUCCAGGGGACCUAACCUCCUGACCUCCGGCGACCCUCAAGGGACCCUCGUGCCUGCGCCCCAUCCAACACGGGUCCUGGACGUCUUUCAUCCUUCCAGCCACAAACUUUCCUGGAUCUUUCAUUAAGUAUAUGCCCGCGUUGGGAGUUAAGUCAAAAAGAGUUUGGAGGAGAAAGUAUCAAAAGCUUGCUGCCACCCCACCCCUGCCACGCCUCCAGCUCCAGGCAAAGGUUGCCUGGGGAGAGUGAAGGGAUGGUAGGCACCUGACCUCGUUGCUCACCAAUACCCUGGAUACAUGCCUUAUACACAGCUCCCUUAUCCACAAGAUAGGGGUGAUGUUAAUGAUGCAUACCUCGCAGGUUCUGUCAUGACCGUUAUCCCAACCCCAGCCCAGGUCCUGGCACGUGGCAAGCACAUUAAGUGACCAGUAAAUGAGGGAGCGUGGCAAGGAGGGCGCUGGGUGUUAACUCCCACUGCGCGCAAAUCAGAGCUGGGUGGCUUGCCCGCUUAGCAGGUGGUCAGGGAUGUGGCUUCCGUGGCAAUCUCUGCCCUGGAAUGCUGGGCGCCUGCUCUCUGCCUCAAUCCGACUAUAAGCCCUGCCACGCCUGCAGGAGACGCCUCAUUUGAACGUGCAAAGCCCAGCCUUCAGAGAGCUGGCUGUAGCCUAAAGGAGUGACUGAUCAAGGACCAGUGGACUGCUCCACAUCAAGGGGAUGCUGCUCCUCCACUCAGUGGACACUGACCUUGUAGGAAUGCUGACUAGCACUGUUGGAUCUUCAUAUUGACCAAAAGAAACUGGAUUUUUAAAUUUU